CCUCGUUUUGAAGAGGCCCAUCAACUGAACAUCUCUACGAAAUUCAAAACAACAGAAUGCACGCGCUGCCACUUUUCGCCUUGUUUGUAUCACACUGAAGUCUGAACUCAACUGUCCGGGAAACGCUACCGGACGUGGUCGCCGGUCACCAGGAACAGUGAUCAUAGUUGCUUCUGUGUGACCAAUGAAUCACUCUCUUGCAUAUAUUCAAGAUGAGGAUAUCCAGAAAGGAAAAGCUAUGCAUGUGAUAGUUGGUCCAGCUCUUUGGAACCCUCCCUGUAAUAUGCUGAGGGAACUAUUUUACUAAAAGAUGGGUCCUCUCUUAUUAACAUCCUCACAGCAUAUAAAUAAAAAGGGCCGAUUAUAAUCCUAUCCUUCUCUCGGAGGAAGAAAAGGAGAUUGCACUUUCAAUGCAUGGAAAUGCAGCUUUUGUGAGUAUAUGAAUUACUUGUACUAAAUUACACUGUUCACCUUUUAUGUCAACUGACAUAAAAAUUGCAAUUGAAUGCAAUCUCUUUUUUUAAUCAAAUGCAGCUGAGAAAAACACUUUUAGAGGAUUGAGAUUGUGAUAAAAUGCAUGUACAUGCAUAACAAACCACAAAGUUCUAUCAGUACUCAAACUAUAUGAAGAUAAUGUGAACUAACCUAGGGCAAAUCCAGUCUCCACUUUUCCAUCCUGGGGGAGAACUACAAUCUGAUCCAUAUCCUCCAGAACCCACCAUGUUACCCCCAUAUCCAGAAGAAUAAGGAUCUUUAAAUGCACCACAUCUAUAGCAGUUUGAUCGGCUUGCAUAGUUGUGAGCUCCACAGUUCAUAGAAGUGCAAAACCAGUCCCCUGCCAACGUUUCAGUCCUGUUAUAUCUAUAGGUCGAUGGGUCAGGGCCUCCAUACUUUGGGUAUCCACAAUUUUGGCAUGCUUCUCUCUUCUUGAAAUUUAUGUGCUCGCAAGCACCACACAUCCAAUCUCCUCCAGACCAGCUCAUUUUCCUGUUCAUUGUGGAAACAUGUGAAGUGGUAAAUUUCAAGAUAUUUAGGUUUCAAUGCAGCUAGAUAAAAAAACUCUGAUUCAAUUCCCUGUGUAUGUAGCCUAGAAUUGGCACAAUGGAGAAUAUUAUCAAUUUUUCUUUUAUAAGUUAUAAAUUCAAUUCAUUAUUUUUUUUU